AGCACGGUGGCCGAGUGGUUAAGGCGUUAGACUUAAGAUCUAAUGGACGAAUGUCCGAUGGGUUCGAACCCCACCCGUGCUA
rnacentral:tRNA from 1 species